rnacentral:tRNA from 1 species
GGUGGCUCAGUGGUAGAGCGUUUGCCUUUCAUGCAUAAGGCCCUAGGUUCGAUUCCUCAGCACCA